ACUCCUACGGGAGGCAGCAGUAGGGAAUUUUCGGCAAUGGAGGAAACUCUGACCGAGCAAUACCGCGUGAAUGAUGAAGGUCUUCGGAUUGUAAAGUUCUGUUGUUAGGGAAGAAAGAGCCAGUGAGGAAAUGCACUGGAAGUGACGGUACCUAACUAGAAAGCCCCGGCUAACUAUGUGCCAGCAGCCGCGGUAAUACAUAGGGGGCAAGCGUUAUCCGGAAUUAUUGGGCGUAAAGCGUGCGUAGGCGGUUUAUUAAGUCUGGUGUGAAAUUUCACAGCUUAACUGUGAAGGGUCAUUGGAAACUGAUAAACUUGAGUACGGUAGAGGUAAGUGGAAUUCCAAGUGGAGCGGUGGAAUGCGUAGAGAUUUGGAGGAACACCAGUGGCGAAGGCGGCUUACUGGGCCGGAACUGACGCUGAGGCACGAGAGCGUGGGGAGCAAACAGGAUUAGAUACCCUGGUAGUC
rnacentral:rRNA from 1 species